rnacentral:lncRNA from 1 species
GGAUGUUCAUAUUUCUUCUUAGAUUACUGGAAGAAAUCUCUGAGGAUCUUACUUUGACGAUCAGAAGGACUGGAUUACUUAGACCUCAGAUUAAACUUGCGUGGUGUUGGGCUCUGCAUGUUAGCGGAUAAGGUAUGACAGCCAAUUAGAGGCCAUUUUCAUAAUGAAUAGCUUUCUGCUUAGGAAUAAAGGAUUGCCUUUCUUAACCCCUUGGAAAGUUUACAAUGUAUGCCAAUUAAAUAUUUGACUCAUCUAAUUAGCUAACCACAGAAAGCUAACAAAUUGAGUUUUGUUUUCUCAAUUGAAUUUUUUGUAUGUGGAGGCCUUUAAUGGUUUGAAUUUUUUCUUGUCAUGUCAAGGAUUUUGGUUUAAACAUCUUCCUUGACCAUACCACAUAGAAAUGAGAGUAGAGUAUAUAAUCUCUGCUGUUUCAUAGAGAAAGCUAAUCCCUCUCUGACUUUGACACCUUGGUUUCCUAGUAACUGCUCUUUUGCCUUGCUACUUUGAGAUAGAAUUCCAACCUUGUUGCCUAGUGAUUGUGUUUAUAUGGAUUUCCUGCCAAUGAAUGCUGGAUUCCUCAUGCCUGGAUUCCAAUGCCAACCACCUGCCUUCCAACACCUUCAUCAAUUACCUCUUAUUUAAGAACCCAUAAAUUACAUACUCUGCCCAUGUGUUAUACCUCCCUUAUUUCCUAAGCAUUUCCUGUCGAUGGACCUUCUGGUUUGGGACCUACUUAUAAACUCAUGUUCCUGUUGUCUGUCCUUUGAAUAACACACUCCAGAUAUCAUCUAUGUGUGAAUAUACUACAAUGCAGCUGGAGAAGUCUGGGGUAUCUGCAAAUGCUUGCCGUAUGGAUUGUACGUGGAGGACCGCCACGUGGGAUAAGCGAGUGGAUAUUACAGGAAGAUUUCCGACGCGUUCCCAGUCGUCACCAGUGAAGUUCUUUGGCCACAGGACAGAGCCAUGCCAACCUGCCCCACACAUCCUUUAAUGGACAUCGCGUUCCUAUCUCUGACCAAAGGCUCAGUGAUCCAGUCUCUCGUGCCCUCAUCCUCUUCGCCUUUCUGUGGGCUGUUGAUGAGCUCAUAUUCAAGUCUAAAUUGCAGCAGAAGUAAUGAAAUCUCAAGCCACGGUUCUUCCUUGUUAUCAUUUUUAGUGCUUUUCACUGUGAGCAUGACGCACCUCGUACAUGACUUUUCAGUUUAGACUAUGAUGGCACACUGGCCAAGGAAAUACGCACGUAAAUUAUGUCAGUGGGGGCAUCUGAGUGGCUCAGUCGGUUAAGCAUCCGACUUCAGCUCAGGUCAUGAUCUCAUGGUUUGUGAGUUCGAGCCCCGCAUUGGGCUCCGUGCUGACAGCUCAGAGCCUGGAGCCUGCUUUGGAUUCUGUGUCUCAUUCUUUCUCUGCCUCUCCCCCACAUGUGCUCUGUCUCCCUC